rnacentral:lncRNA from 1 species
ACUGCCAGAGUUAUGAACUGCCAAUUCAUUAUCUGGUCGAUGGUACCAUAUCCACUAAACUUUUGUACCUUAUGGUACCUAAUCACAACUAAGAUGACCAGGACGUUGAAGAGUUAAGUAUUUCUCCAUAGAUUUACUAUAGCUCCAGUGUGAGAGAUAUCAGCUAAUAAUCUAUUGUCUAGUUCUUCAAUGGUCUGUUUAUCAGCUAUACAUGUUCUAUAUGGUUGGUGUAUAGGUGGGAGGCUUUUUUCAAAUAUAAGAUAAAAUGGGUUACACACGUGACCACUUGAACCAAGGUUUCGUUCAAUCAGCUUUACUGCUCAAAUGUACACACAUGCACACGUGUGUAUGUAAAAUUAUCAUUUUCCAGUGAUCAGGUCAGUCAUAUAUAUAUAUAUAUAUAUAAGUGAAAGAAAAAAGUAAAUGGGUAAAAGAAUAUUUUUAUCAGUCAUUAAAAUUGUGGCCAUGCUAGACUACACUUUGCAGGGGGUCUGAGUCAGUCAUAUUGUCAAGUUUUAUAAUUUGCUCAUUUUAUAAGCGCAGGAACAAGGAUCAAAUAGCUGUAAAUUGCAAAUUUCUAUCUUGCCGUAGUGGAUGCACAACCAAUAGCAGAAUGUAUGAGAAGGGGUAACAACACACAAUUGAUUCCAUCGCUACAGGAUUACAGUUGAUGGGCCUAGAUCAACCCCUUCUAUACAUUCUGUUGUCGGUUGUGUUUCUGCUUAUUUCUAAAACUGGUACUAAUUUUUGCAAUUUUAUUUAUCACCCAGAUACACGAGAUACAUAAAUACAGAUACAGUUUUUGUUGGAUGGCAUAAAUUAUAAAGACGCAGAAAGAAAUGUAUGUAUGUAUGUAUGUAUGUAUGUAUGUAUGCAUGCAUGCAUGUAUGUAUGUAUGUAUGUAUGUAUGUAUGUAUGUAUGUAUGUAUGCAUGCAUGCAUGUAUGUAUGUAUGUAUGUAUGUAUGUAUGUAUGUAUGUAUGUAUGUAUGUAUGUAUGUAUGUAUGUAUGGAUGGAUGCAUGUAUGUAUGCUUGUAAGUAAGCAUGCAUGUGUGUAUGAAGAGUUUUCAUAUAUUUCUUAUCAACCAACAUAGGUUCCACGGUAUUGGUCAACCCAAAUUAUACUCUGUAGGAGGCUUUGAAGAUUGCAAAGCAAAUACAUGUAUGUUGUAUAGUGUGUGUGUGUAUGUGUGUGUGUGUGUCUGUCUGUCUGUCUUUCUCUACCCUUUAUAUUUCAUUUAUAUAUCAUACAUGUAUAUAAUAUAUAUAUGUGUGUAUAUGUGUAUAUAUAUAUAUAUAUAUAUAUAUAAAUGAAAGAAUGGAGUCGAACGAAGAUUUUAACAAAAUUCCUUUACUCUCGACACAUGUUUCGAAGACGGCAUACUCUUAAUUCUGAAGGAAUAAAGGGUGCAUUAUGUCAUCUUCUCAUCAGGAAAGAUAAAGAGCCUCUUUCAGCCUCAAGACGAACAAAAACUUUUUGAUUAACCAAAUUUUCCAUGCUAGGAUAAUUCAUUCACCUACUUAAAUAUAUAUAUGCUGAUAGAUAGAUAGACAGACACACAGAUAGAUAUGCAAAAAUAUAUACCCUUUAAAUAUUCACUGUUCUAUCUUUAUGUGUUUUAUGUGUAAUUUGGAAUUAAUUCUAACAUUUAUUGCUGUCUUUCUUUAAUUGGUUUAUAUGUCUGCGUUCUGCCCCUUCUUUAACCAUCUCUGAUGAGUUGCAGUGCAUCUAGGUACUAUAUGCCAUAAGUUUAUUAUUAUUAUAUUAUUACAUUACAUCAUUAUUAUCAUACAUAGACAUACACAUAUAUUCAGAGAGAUAUACAUUUAUAUAUACAUUUUUACAUAUUUAUAUAUAUACACACAAAUAUACAUAUAUAUAUACAAAGAGAAUGAUAUGUAUUUUCACAAAUAUAUAAACACCUAUAUACAUAUGUAUACACACACACACACAUUUAUGCAUAUAUAUGCAUAUAUGCAUAUAGGUAUAUAUACAUAUAUAUACAUAUUUAUAUAUAAAUACAUAUAUAUACACAUAUAUACACACACAUACAUUUAUGCAUAUAUAUAUACAUAUAUAUAUAUAUAUAUAUAUACAUAUUCAUAUAUAAAAACAUAGAAAUAUAUAUACAUACACACACACAUAUAUAUACAUACAUAUAUAUAUACAUAUAUAUAUACACACACAUAUAUACACACAUAUAUACAUAUAUGUACACAUAUAUAUACAUAUAUAUGCAUAUAUACAUACAUAUAUACAUAUAUACAUAUACAUAUAUAUAUAUAUAUACAUAUAUACAUACAUAUAUAUACAGUUACACAUAUAGAUGUAUACAUACAUGUGUGUGUAUAUACAUAUAUAUAUAUAUACAUAUAUAUAUAUAUAUAUAUAUAUAUAUAUAUAUAUAUAUAUAUAUAUAUAUAUUUACAUACACAUACACCUAUAUAUAUGCAUGUAUGUAUGUGUGUAUAAAUACAGAUAUACACAUAUCUAUAUAAUGUAAGUUAAUCUGAGAAGGGGCAGUUAUCCUGAGCCAUCUAAACUAAAAGAUUAAGACUACUGGAUGAAGUUAAUGCUGGGCAUAUGUGUGUGUUGUGUAUAUGCUUGUUUGCAUGUAUAUACAUAUGUACAUAUAUGUGUACGUAUGUAUGAGCAUAUGUGUGCAUAUGUGUGAACGUGUGUGUGCAUGUGUUUGUAUACACAUUUGUGUAUGCAUGAAGACAAUAUCUAUUUUUGGUUUAUCUUUAAAUUAUAUUUUGAAAUUUUAUGUUUACUUAAACCCUAAGCCUCAUUAGACUGAAUUAAAUGCUCACAUUCUCAUAAGGUGAGCCAGCAAAAUUAUACCUUCCUAAAUUAGCAACUUAGGAUUAAGAAAACCAGAAUCAGGUUACCCUAUAAGUACAUUGUACCAAAAGACCUACAUCUGACCUAAUAUUGACUUUUAAAUUUUAAAUUUCAAUAUGCGUUUGUUACACACACACACUAUAUAUAUAUAUAUAUAUUCUAAUAAUUCUGAUUAAAGGUCAAUAUGUUUAUAUGUAACUGAAAAAAUCUCCCUUAAGUUACACACACACCCAAAUUAAGUGAAAUACUAAUAAUUCCAAUUUUUAAAAUUUUUUAUUUUUUUAUUUUAUCUAGUUCCAGCUCACGAGCUGUGGCCAUGCUGGGGCACCACCAUUUACUGUUCCUUUAUGAGGCAUGUAGACCACAUUCAAUGAGCAAUAUUUAGAUCAAAACUGAAUCUGUUUUACAUGAAUUGUAGAUGAGGUUCAUCAUGUAGAAAUAAUCAUGUAGGAUGAACCAGCAUGAUUGAACUAAAGUCAGAGUUCCUUUAGUCUAACAAUCUCUCAUUAUUACCAUUCUUUAAGGCAGUGAGCUGGCAGAAUCAUUAGCACCAAGGCUAUGGAGUCGGAGUCAGAAACAAUUAAGGGGUAGCUGGAGUCGGAGUCAGUAAAACUAUACUGACUCCAGCUCACAGUAUCUUUAUUCUUUAAUAAAAACCAGUUAUAACAUAUAGGCCUAUUCAAAGUACAAGUGUAUGCAUAUCCUUUAUGAGAUAUGUAGACCACAUUCACUUAAUUAAAUAAAGAAGAGUCAGAGUCGAAGGUGCCUAUAGUAGAGGAGUCAGAAUCAAAGUGUUUUGUUUUGACUCCACAGCCCUGGUUAGUGUGCCAGCAAAAUGAUUAGUAGUAUUUCAUCCAUCUUUAUGUUCUGAGUUCAAAUUCUGCUGAGGUCAACUUUGUCCUUCAUCCUUUCAGGUUUGAUAAAAUACGAACCAGUUGACCACUAGGACUGAUGAAAUUGACUUACCCCUUCACUCAAAGUUACUGGGGUUGUGUCAAAAUCUGAAACUAAUAUUACUUCUCUUGGGAGCAGGUGUGUUGGCUACAGGAAGAGCAUCCAACCAUAAAAAAAUUCUGCCUAAGUUUCAUCUGAUCUAUUCCAGCAUGGAAAAAAAAAAUGACACAUUGGUGAUGUUGAUGAUAUAUAUACACACGUAUAUAAGCAUACACACACACACACACACACACAUACACAAUAACAUACAGUGUCUAUAAGAAUAGGUUUCAGACAGUCUCUCAGUCCAGGGCCAGAAAAUGAAGGAUUGUCCUGUUACUAUCUGCUGUAGCCUCUUUCACCACAGCAUUAUUAACUUUAGAGGAUUCUUCUUCAAAGAACCCCCCAAAAAAGCAUUCAUGUUUCACCUUGCUUAGUUUUACUUGGUGACCCAACACCCACACACACACAACCAUUUUAACAUCCAAUUUUGCUUUCUUGUAUAAGUCAUAUGAAAUUCAUUAAAGUAGAUUUCAUAUCAUCAACCCUGACCUGUUUCCAAAUAAGGUCAUAUUUACCCAUAGCCAACCAUGUUUUCACAGAUGACUAGAAGUGAACAAUAUUGUUUGUAUGAUGAUGAUGAUGAUGCUCAUUUAAAGCAAUCCCAUGAUGUCAAGAGAAGGGCACACACAAGUGUUCAUACAUGAGUACAUGCGCACAUGCACACACACACAUAUACACACAUGGAAGGCUUCUUUCAGUUUCCUCCCAACAAAUCCACUCAUAAGGCUUUGGUUGGCCCAGACUAUAAUAGACACUUGCCCAAAAUAUUUCUCAGUAAACUCAUAUAUGAACUCAUACAGGUGUAUAUGUAUGAAUGUAUGUAUGUAUGAAUGUAUGUAUGUAUAUGUAUGUAUAUAUGCUCGCAUGUAUGCAUGUAUGUUUCUCUCUCUCUCUCUCUCUGUUUGUGUGUAUAUAUACACCUCAUGCAUUGCAUCUGUCCUUUCUUUCUUCAAGUUGAUCCAGACAGAAUUUGAACUCCAAAUGUAAAGAGGCAAAACAAAUUGCUUAGUUAUGUUCUGAUAUGUUUUACGUCUAAACAAGAAUUGUUAAAACAACUAUCGGGGUAUUUCACUUGAAAUGUUCAACCAUGGUGAAACAGGCAUUUUCAAAGAGGGGGAGGUAAAUUUUCUGAUAGUUUUCACAAAGGCUAUUUAGUUGAAGGACAAAUUUUGAAUUACAGAAAGUAAACAUUUGAUGAAAAAAUAAAGUUCCAUGGAAAGGUUGAUGUAAACAGGAGAUAAAUUAUUCAAAGAUGGAGAUAAUUGUCAAAGAAAUAGAACAGUAAAUGAGAAUUGUACAGGAUUUCUCACUAAAUAGAGUAGGUUUGUUGUUAUUUACUUUGUCAGAUUUUGCUAAUACAAAUUUUAGAAAAAUUUUCAAUAAUUAAUGAUUUCUUCACAAAUGCAAGAGUUAAAUUAUAAAAAAAAAAGAAAAAGAUAAAAGGAAAAAAAACUGGUCACAAGUCAUAAUUCCAUUAAGAAUGUUAUAAUUAUUUUGUAUUUAAUUUAUUUCUGCGGCUGACUGUGAAUGACCUUCACAUAAAAUAUUUUCAGCAAGGGUUAAACAAAUGUGAUGUGUAUUUACAAAAGAAUAUUCUAAAGAGAAAUCUACAAAUUUUUUUCAGCAUGGACUUUAAUUCACUACUAUUGAAAGUAGUCUGACAGAUACACUUUUGGAGCUGCUGUGAAUAAAAUAUAAAUAAGUGAUGAUGAUGAUGAUGAUGAUGAUGAGUAGAAGAAGAAGAAGAAGAAGAAGAAGAAGAAGAAGAAGAAGAAGAAGAAGAAGAAGUUGUAGUAGUAGUAGUAGUCAUUAAUAUUUUUACAAUAUAAUUAAAUCUAAAUCUGAUCGCAUCACAACCACAUCUGCGCUAAAAACCCCCAAGAAUUUUAGUAAAAUGGAUACAAACUCAGUGAGCUAGCUAUGAAUACAUACACACACACAUACAUACAUACAUAGAUACAUACAUAGAUACAUAUAUAUAUAUAUAUAUAUAUAUAUAUAUAUAUAUAUACGUAUACCCCACUCACAGAGUCUUUAUUCAUUUUGCCAAUAUAUAUAUAUAUAUAUAUAUAUUAUGGCUGGGAUCUGCGUUGCCUACUAUUCUUUAUGGAUCGGAUCGGAUAGGAAAGGAAUAUUCUUAUUUGCAGCUUAAGACACACACAAAAAAAAACCCACAACAACAAAACAAAACUAUAAUGCUAUUUAUGAUGAGUAGGAAGAAGAGGCACUAAUGUAGUAUUGUACUGCAGUAGAAAAGUAGGAGAUGAAAUUUUUCCAUUACGUCAUACGUUCUUUCCAUGCAUAAUCACAAUUUUCAUGAUAAUAUUGUCAGCAUAGAAUGAUCAUGAUGAAUGAGGGAGGGGAAGGGAGGCACACAACAUAUUAAGCACUUACAUUUCCAUAUAUGGUAUUGUUAUUAUUGAUUAUUUCUAUAACAAUUAUUUCAAUGUAAAAAUCAAUCAUUAUAUGAAGUAGUUCUAUGAAAGAAACAUGAUUUUUAAGACAUCAAAUUUAUUAUGCAUGCUCUGGUACCAAUUACAGAUUUCAUAUGUAUGUAUGUAUGUAUGUAUGUAUGUGCAUAUAUAUGUGUGUGUGUGUGUGUAUAGGAGGAGAGAGAUAGAGAGAGAGAGAGAGGGAGGAUGAAGAUGAAAUCCAUCCAUGAGUAUUAUCCUCCCUUCUAUUAUCAUAUUAAAAAGCAUAUGGAAAUCAAUAGGACACAGUUAUAUAUAACACAUUAUUUCUAUGAUAUUUCUUCUCUUUCUGGUGCUACCAAUGGCUUUUUUAAAACAUAGUCUCAUAAUAGAGAUAUUUCCACAGACAGUCAUGGGAAGAAAAGAAUUCAUCAUUCUCACCCCCACCCCCCACAUCCCCAUGGUCCCCCUCCUUUCUCUCAUCUCAGUUCUUUAUCAUAUGAGACAUUCAAAAUUGUUAAUAUGCUAACCAAAAAAAAAAAAAAAAAAAAAAUCGAAAAAAGGAGUGGGAUGUACGACGGGGGUUAUUUGAUCAGUUUUGAUCUAUUGAUUUUUUUAAAAAUGGCAUAAGUAGUUUUGCAGUUGCUCCAAGUGUAUGUGUACAGUAGGAAGAUUUGUAACAGUAGCAGCAAUUUGCAACAAUAACAGCAGCAAUCAGUAGCAGCGGUAGCAGCGGUAGCAGCGGCAGCAGUAGUAGUAGUAAUGACACUAGCUGCAGUAGCAAUCUGAUGUUGCGACUGACGUCUAGGCUGUUCCAUUUCUGCUUGAAUAGUCAUAGCAUUAGCACUGGUGAAAAAUAUCUGUAGGUUAUUGAUUUCUGGAGCCAACAAGUAUGUUGUUUGAAGCCAAGCUUGUUCUACAUUCUAUGGUUGGCAAGUUGUAAUAACUAAAAAGGCAAGGCAAGAUGGCAGUUAAGGUCAAGGCUGUUUAUGGUUUUAGCCGAUGAUAUGUCAAACACCACUUUUAACUUAUAUCAAUACAACUGGACUGCUUGCAUUCACGUACACACAUCUUAAUUGCUUGUGUGUGUAUGUAUAUAUAUAUAUAUAUAUAUAUAUAUAUAUAUCUUUAUAUAUAAAAGUGAGGUUGUGUGCUGUCUGUCUCCUACGAUUUAGAUUCCUAACUACUCCCACAUUUUGCGGUGCAGUUUAACCAAAAGCGGGUAUCUUAUAGUCGUGAUUCAUAUCGAGCCCUUCUGGGUAUUAGUGCGCGUCUACGAUGAGUCUACGAUUUUAAAAAUAAUUUACCAUAAUUUUUUUCCAUUUUAAUGCAUUUUUUCGCUAUUAUAUAAGGGAAGUAACUCUCUAAAAAUGUCUACGAUGAGUCAACGAUUUAAAAAAAAUUUACCAUCAUUUUUUUUCCAUUUUUAAUGCAUUUUUUUGCUAUAACUCUCUAAAAAUGCUUAUAUAGUUAUUUCCCUUACAAACCCGAGCAACGCCGGGCGAUACUGCUAGCAUAUAUAUAAUUUCAUAAAUAUUAUAAUUGGUAAUUUUCUUUUUAUUGGACAGGAGGUUAUGUAUUGUAUCCGUUGCUGUCAUGUCCUCCAAAACUACUUACAUGGACGUGCUAAAUGUCCUUCUUGCACAGUUGCAAGUUGACGGCUGCAGAAAAAUGUAUGUGCAGAGAAGAAUUCUGGAGCUAGCAUGCAUGCAUUCAUAAUGUGCACUUGUACAUAUGCAUGCACACAUAUGCAUACAUAUGCAACAGGCCUACACAUACAUGUAUAAUACAAAAUUUAGUUGUACACUCAUACACAAGUAUAUGAAGAUAAACUUUACUAGUUUCUCUCUCUCUCUCUCUCUCUCUCUCUCUAUAUAUAUAUAAAGAGAGAGAGAGAAAGAGAGAGACAGACAGACAGACAGAUAAAUAGAUGGUUAGAUAGAUAGGUAGACAGAAAGACAGGUAUGAAUUAUACAUAAUUUAAUCAUUCACUCAAGUCCAAAUAUAUGAGAAUAAAAAUAUAUGCAUUUGCUGUGCAUUAUUUUAUACAUACACAUACACAGAUGUACAAGCACGCACACACACACACACACACACACACACACACACACACAGAUACACACAAUGUGUCGCAAAUGAUAUUUGAUAUUUCAAAGAAAAUUCUCAAUGUACCAUUUUUAUUGAAUCAUUAAUGUAAAGUGAUACAGCAAAACAAUACAUGUUGACUGUACAUGUUAACUAUAGAAUAAUGAUGAAGAAGAUAAUUAUGAUAAUUUCUUUUACAUUGUCAAGUUAGGCAGAAAGCCAGCAGUUUUGAGAGAAAGGGGUUAGUCGAUACGAUUGCUCCCGUUUUUUGACUGGUACUUUAUUUAAUCAACUAUGAAGAAUGAAAGACAAAAUUCACCUAAGCAGGAUUUCAACUCAAAGAUAUAAAGCGUCAAGAGUUUCUAAACUAGACACAAGGUCAGCAAUUUUUGAAGGGAGGGAGCUAAUUGAUACCAUCGACCAUAAUACAUCCUGGUACUUUUCUUUAUCGACUUACUUAAGGGAUAAAAUGUAGAAUUUAUUUUACAGGUUUUUAACUCAGAAUGUAAAGGGCCAUAACAAAUACUGCAAAUCGUUUUUUCUGACACUGAAGCAAUUCUACCAAUUUACCACCAUUAACAUGAUAAUGAUAGAAAAAAAAAAGAAAAAUAAGAAAAAAAAACGGGAUGAUUGGUGAUGUGGUUCCUAAGAAGAAGAAGACCCACCCACUUCAGUGUACCUGAAUUCUGGAAGCAUUUUGUAUCUAUGUUUUGCACACAAUUGAGCCCUUUCUCUAAUUUCCUUCUCAAGACAUUUCCAUCACCCAUCUUUAAGUGCAGCUUUUUUUUUUUAAUACCACUUAUUUUUCUUACUACCCAGAACCAUUUCAGUUGUUAACCACUCUUCAUCUAUUAAAAAUGCUCUCUCCACUCACACUUUACAUUGAUCACCCUGCCCCACUAAGCCAUCAAAUUAUCUCUUCUUUUCCACAGAUACAUGUCCCUCAUUCCCCUCAUGCAAUGCAUCUGUCCCUCUCUUUCUUCCCCACACUCCUGAAACUUACCCAACCGUAUACCAUCUGUCUUUCAUCCUUCCCCUAUCUUCUAUAUCAUCAUUACUAUUAAUAAUAAUAAUAAUAAUAAUAAUAAUAAUAAUAAUAAUAAUAAUAAUAAUAAUUGUGUACAGUGCUCAGGUGCACUACAACUCAUCUAAAGUGUAUAUAUAAUCAGGUGUAGUUUCGGCGGAUUUCGGGAAGCAUGAGGGCCUUAAAGGAUGCAGUGUCAUGGCAGUCAACAACUGAUGCAGGCAGUUUAUUCCACGCUUCAGCAACCCUGAGCGUGAAAAAAUGUUUCCGAAAGUCAUGGGAGCUGUGCUGUUUUCUGACUUUGUAGGCAUGUCCACGUGUGUAUCCCUUGUAGGCAUGUCCACAUGUGUAUUCCUUGCCCCCAUCUCCAACCAUCUUCUACUUCCCUUGUCUCCUGCAACUCAUGUAUCAUUGGAUAUUCACAAAGUUCACCCUUCAACCCUACCUAAUCUUUACAGCUGCCAUUUAACUCCCCUCCACUCACUCAUUCCCCAUCUUUCACUUCCACAUACACUCUUGCAGCCUCCAUCCAUCCAUCCACAUUCCUGGUUGCUCUGUCCCCACUUAUUACUACCCACUUUGUACCUUGAGGGUUCAUCCACACACCUCGUCACCACUAUUUUUAUCACUUUCCACAACCACACAAACACUUCUAUGCUCUUUUCUAAAUUAUGAGUAGUCAUGUAACUUCUCUACAGCAGAAAAAAAAAAAACCUAUUCAGUUUUGGCCCUUUCUCUCAUAUUUUAACCAUCAUCUCCAAGUCUUGAAAGUUGCAUGGUGAUUUCACUAGUGAUAGUGUCACGGAAAAAAUACCCAGGACAUGCUGCAAAGUGGUUGGCAUUAGGAAGGGCAUCAUCAUCAUCAUCAUCAUCAUCAUCAUCAUCAUCAUCAUCAUCAUCAUCAUCAUCGUUUAACGUCCGUUCUCCAUGCUAGCAUGGGUUGGACGGUUUGACCGGGGAUCUGGGAAGCCAGAAGGCUGCACCAGGCUCCAGUCUUAUCUGGCAAUGUUUCUACAGCUGGAUGCCCUUCCUAACGCCAACCACUCCGUGAGUGUCGUGGGUGCUUUUGCAUCAAGCCAUAGAAACCAUGCCAAAAGCAGACAUUGGUACAUAAUGAAGUCUGUGUAUCCACUGGAUUCUGCCAAACCAUCUGACUCAUACCAGCAUGGAACAUUGAUCUUAAGUGAAUAAUUAUAAUAAUGACAAACUAUCCCUUCGAAGACCAUGUAUGAGUGUUCAGCUUUCUUGCCAAACAACCUGUACAAAUCAUCAUCAUCAUCAUUUAGCGUCUGCUUUCCAUGCUAGCAUGGGUUGGACGGUUCAACUGGGGUCUGUGAAGCCAGAAGGCUGCAUCAGGCCUAGUCUGAUCUGGCAGUGUUUCUACGGCUGGAUGCCCUUGAUUUGUUUAUAUUGAUCAAAUGUUUGUGCCGCACAUGAGCUCCCUCUCUCCAUCAAAUCAUCGCUGUUUAAACAGGUGCACAGUGUGCCAUCUGUCAGGUGUCAAAGUAACUGCAGAGGAACAUGAGACGAAGUGUUUUUCUCAAGAUCACAACGCACCAACCAAUCUAGGAAUUGAAAUCACAAUCUAGCAAUUGCGAGUGCAACACCUUAACCACUAGGCCAUGCAACCUAACAACAACAACAUCAACAAUAAUAAUAAUAAACUUAAUGGGAAGAAUAAAUUCCAAGCAAUAAAUUCAUGGAUAAUCACUUUCUUGAGAUAUGGAACAAGAGUGGUACAUUGGCCCUGAACUGAAUGGGGAAAAUAAGUUCCAAACAAGAAAACAAGGAAACUGUUGACAAGAUAUUGUGCAUUCUAAGGUAGCGAGCUGGUAGAAUCAUUAGUACACCAGACAAAAGGCUUAGUGCCAUUUCGUCUGUCUUUAUGUUCCACCAAGUUCGAAUUUGCUUUUCAUCCUAUCAGGGCUGAUAAAAUAAGUACCAGUUGGACUCUGGGGUCGAUGUAAUCAACUUACUCCUUCCCUGAAAUUCCUGGCCUUGAGUCAAAAUUUAAAUUCAAUAUAUGGUGUAUUCCAACUGUAAAGUGAUGCUGAAAGGCUGCAUUUGACAAAAAAAAAAGGCGGAUGGGAAUUGAUAUGUUGUGAGGAUUAUAUUCUGUCCGAGGAAAACAGUAUUACUUGGUAUAUAAAGAAUGCAAAGAACACACCACUUGGGCAAGUAAGGGAGGCAAGAUUAUCACAUACAGAAAGCUGUCAGGAUAAGAAGAUAUACAAAAAAGACAGAAAUAAAGAAACAGCUGGAAGGAUAAGAUGUGCAGUCAGUUCUUGAGCGGGAUACCAAGGAAUAUAGUUUCAGAUAAAAGAUAGAUGUAGUUACAAAAAAGUGAAUUGAAACCUGAAACAUAGGCCUUGCUAUGUGUAGCACACAAACAAGUGUUUCAUGAAGCAAAGAACUGAACGUUUCACAGACUCUGACAGAUCUAAUGUGAUCAAGGAAUUGAACAUUGGAAAUCCAAUAUCAUGUUGGUUGACAAUGGAGGAAAAUUCAUGCCACAUCAUAGGCAUGACAUGUCUUGGAGACAUCAGAUACAGAAUAAGUAAUAAAAUAUAAAACUCAGCAAAAAGAAAUCGAAAUGCUAUGGUAAAUGAAAAAUAAGUACAUUGUAUCCUUGGUACAAUGAGCUAAAAAAAACUGUCCCCCUAAGAAUUGCUGGCUUUGUGCCAAAAUUAGAAAGAAUUGUCAUUCUUCUUAUUCUUCUUCUUCUUCUUCUUAUUAUUAUUAUUAUUAUUCUCUCUUUUACUCUUUUCCUUGUUUCAGUCAGUUGACUGCAGCCAUGCUGGAGCACUGCCCUUUAGUCGAGCAAAUCGACCCCGGGACUUAUUCUUUGUAAGCCCAGUACUUAUUCUAUCGGUCUCUUUUGCCGAACCGCUGAGUGACGGGGACAUAAACACACCAGCAUCGGUUGUCAAGCAAUGCUAGGGGGACAAACACAGACACACAAACAUACACACAUACACAUACACACAUAUAUAUAUACAUAUAUACGACAGGCUUCUUUCAGUUUCCAUCUACCAAAUCCACUCAGAAGGUAUUGGUCAGCCUGAGGCUAUAGCAGAAGACACUUGCCCAAGAUGCCACGCAGUGGGACUGAACCCGGAACCAUGUGGUUGGUUAGCAAGCUACUUACCACACAGCCAUUCCUGCGCCUAUUUAUUAUUAUUAUUAUUAUUAUUAUUAUUAUUAUUAUUAUUAUUAUUAUUAUUAUUAUUAUUAUAGUGCUGGUGCCACAAUAAAAUCCAUCCAAGGCUCUCUGUGAAGUAGUUGGCAAAUGUGUAGGGUCAAAAGAACACUACGGUCUUGUAGCGAAUAUGACAAUUUCUUACAUGCUGGUGCCACAAUAGAAUGCACCUGGUGAACUCUGUAAAGUGAUUGGUGAUUGGAAAAGUAUCAGUCAUAGAAACCAAACCAAACCAAACCAAACCAAACCAAACUAGAAGUGAAAAAUAUGAGCAAGAUAUAAUCCUCUGCCCCAUCUAGAAUAGCAUUGGUCUAUGGCAACUUGCUCAGCCCAUAUUAGCAUGGAAAACAGAUAUAAAAUGACAAUGAUGAUGAUUCAUAUAUAUAUACACAUGCAUGCAUGCACAUGCACACGCACACACACACAAGUUUGAAUGUAAAGAUGGGAGGAAGAAUACUCAAUAUCUUUAGUAGAAUUUAUUAAUUUGUUUGAAGCUGAUGAUAGAUUUGCUGUUACUCAGAAUUUCCCACUACAUCAAUCAGUUCCUUAUUCUUAGCUAAAGAAGGGAAAGAAAUGUUUCUUGCAUAAAAUCAGAAACCAAUGCAAAUGCAUUUAAACUCACCUGUAGAUAAUCUAUAGAAAAUAUUUAUUAUUAAAUAUAAGGAUUACCAUUUUAGGAAAAAUCUCCAGUAUAAAGGGUCCACUAUAAUUGAAUAAACUUGAAUUUAUUUACAAUCAUCAGUUGAUGCUGACAGUUUCUAUCUUUAAUUAUUUUGAAGUUUUAAAAUUCUAAAAAUAUGGUAAGUAGCUUGUUUACCAACCACAUGGUUCCGGGUUCAGUCCCACUGCGUGGCACCUUGGGCAAGUGUCUUCUACUAUAAGCCUCGGGCCGACCAAAGCCUUGUGAGUGGAUUUGGUAGACGGAAACUGAAAGAAGCCCAUCGUAUAUAUGUAUAUAUAUAUAUAUAUAUAUAUAUAUAUAUAUAUGUGUGUGUGUGUGUGUGUGUGUGUGUGUGUGUGUGUGUGUCUGUGUUUGUGCCCCUAGCAUUGCUUGACAACCGAUGCUGGUGUGUUUAUGUCACCGUUACUUAGCGGUUCGGCAAAAGAGACCGAUAGAAUAAGUACUGGGCUUACAAAAGAAUAAGUCCCGGGGUCGAGAUGCUCGAUUAAAGGCGGUGCUCCAGCAUGGCCACAGUCAAAUGACUGAAACAAGUAAAAGAGAGUAAAAGAGUAUAUCUCUUAGGCAAAAUUUUAGUUAUGACCUUUUAUGAUUUGAGUUCAAAUCUUGUUGAGGUCACCAUGGCUUUUGAUUCAUCCAGGUUUGUUAAAAUAAAUAUAAGCUCAUUUAAUAGGCUCCACUCUUCUUGGGAAAAGAUUUGCAGCCAUGUGCCCAUAUUAGAAACCAUAAUAUUUGUAAUGAAAUGCAGAAUAAAAUUUUACAAUUAGAGAAAUCAGUUAAUGAUGUAAAUUAAGAUUUCUUAUUUAAAUAUAGAACAUAAAGGGAUGACAAAGUACCAAGACUCCUGGCAGUUUGCUGUGCUUGAGAAGAUAUAUCAAGCUAAGUAAAAUCAGGGUUACCCUUGCAUACAUACAUGUUCCCUGCAUCCCUCUUCAACUGUGCAUUCCUAAUCUAGUGGGCUUGAGGGUGUUGGUGCCACACCCAUGCCAAUGCUGCUUAAAAACACCCAGUACACUUUAUGAAGUGGUUGGCAUUAAGAAAGGCAUUCCAGCCAAAGAAACCAUGCCAAAACAGACAUGGAGCCCGAGAAGUUCUUCAUUUGGCCAGCUCCAGUGAAACUGUCCAACCCAUGCCAGCACAGAAAACAGAUGUUAAAUGAUGAUGAUCAUCAUGGUGAUAAUGAUGAUGAUGAUGAACACUAGAGGUUAUGUUAGAAGAGGGUUGAUCAACGAACAACAUCUAGACAGAGCUAAUAGCAAGAAAUAGUAACCAAAUUUCCCACAUUUUUCAAAUUUCCCUCAAAAAACAUCAUCAUCAUCAUCAUCAUCGUUUAACGUCCGCUUUCCAUGCUAGCAUGGGUUGGACGGUUCAACUGGGGUCUUGGAAGCCCAAAGGCUGCACCAGGCCAGUCAGAUCUGGCAGUGUUUCUACAGCUGGAUGCCCUUCCUAAUGCCAACCACUCCGUGAGUGUAGUGGGUGCUUUUUAUUUGCCACCGACACAGGUGCCAGAUGAGGCUGGCGAACGGCCACGUUCGGAUGGUGUUUAUUAUGUGCCCACAGCACAGAGGCCAGUCGAUGCGGUACUGGCUACGGUCACAUUCGGAUGGUUUAAAUAAAUAUAGUACUACAUAUUCCAACAGAGACAUGGGAGGUCACAGCUGAAAUGCUUUGAUCAUAGACCAGCUUGAUCAGUGUUCACCUCAGGCUAAAUAACAACACCUAGAAAAUUGUUACAUACAAGGAAUGACAAUAAGUACAUUGUUUAUUUUUGUGAAACAGUUAUAAUAGGAUAUGUAAGCGUAGACAAACUGAUCGACUAAUCAGUGGCAGCUUACUCUCGGGUAAGCAUUCAGACAAGGUAUCCAGGUUCAAGAUAAUCCCUUCUAUCUAUGUCACCAAUAUUAAAGAUCCUGAAAAAAUGCAAGGUCACUGACCUCUCUCCUCUGACUAAUCCAUAAUGAAAUUUAAAAAAUAAAAGACACACGAAACAAUAGAAAUAUUGUGUGCUAAAAUAAGUACCACAUGGAAUCUUAUUAACACUCCAGCACUUCCCCCAAUCUACUCUCAUAUUCAACAUUACUUUUGAAAUAAAAUUGACUUUUUGGUUUUUGUCACCAGAAAAUGCAAACAACAAUAGAACCAUAAUGUGGUUGUUUGCUGUGCUAGAAACAGCAACCUAAAUUCCUUUGAAUCUCAGCAACCAACUUAAAAAAGAAAGAUACAAUGGACAACGUAGUUU